CCUACGGGUGGCAGCAGUGGGGAAUAUUGCACAAUGGGGGAAACCCUGAUGCAGCGACGCCGCGUGAGUGAUGAAGUAUCUCGGUAUGUAAAGCUCUAUCAGCAGGGAAGAAAAUGACGGUACCUGACUAAGAAGCCCCGGCUAACUACGUGCCAGCAGCCGCGGUAAUACGUAGGGGGCAAGCGUUAUCCGGAUUUACUGGGUGUAAAGGGAGCGUAGACGGCAGUACAAGUCUGGAGUGAAAUCCCGGGGCUUAACCCCGGAACUGCAUUGGAAACUGUGCGGCUGGAGUGUAGGAGGGGUAAGCGGAAUUCCUAGUGUAGCGGUGAAAUGCGUAGAUAUUAGGAGGAACACCGGUGGCGAAGGCGGCUUACUGGACUGUAACUGACGUUGAGGCUCGAAAGCGUGGGGAGCAAACAGGAUUAGAUACCCUAGUAGUC
rnacentral:rRNA from 1 species